AGCGGCGGACGGGUGAGUAACGCGUGGGUAACCUACCUCAUACAGGGGGAUAACAGUUGGAAACGGCUGCUAAUACCGCAUAAGCGCACAGUACCGCAUGGUACGGUGUGAAAAACUCCGGUGGUAUGAGAUGGACCCGCGUCUGAUUAGCUAGUUGGUGGGGUAACGGCCCACCAAGGCGACGAUCAGUAGCCGACCUGAGAGGGUGACCGGCCACAUUGGGACUGAGACACGGCCCAG
rnacentral:rRNA from 1 species